rnacentral:rRNA from 1 species
GACAGAGGCCCCGAGCGUUAGGCGGAAUCACUGGGCUUCAAGCGCGUGUAGGCGGAGGGCUAAGUACCUUGUGAAAUCCCCGGGCUCAACCCGGGAACUGCUCGGUAUACUGGCCUUCUUGAGGCAUCUAGGGGCGAGCGGAACAAACGGUGGAGCGGUGAAAUGCGUAGAUAUCGUUUGGAACGCCAACGGAGAAAUCAGCUCGCUGGGGAUGUCCUGACGCUGAGACGCGAAAGCCAGGGGAGCAAACGGG